rnacentral:rRNA from 2 species
AGCUCGUGUCGUGAGAUGUUGGGUUAAGUCCCGCAACGAGCGCAACCCUUGUCUUUAGUUGCCAUCAUUAAGUUGGGCACUCUAAAGAGACUGCCGAUGACAAAUCGGAGGAAGGUGGGGAUGACGUCAAAUCAUCAUGCCCUUUAUGUCCUGGGCUACACACGUGCUACAAUGGUCGGUACAACGAGAAGCAAGCCAGCGAUGGCAAGCAAAUCUCUAAAAGCCGAUCCCAGUUCGGAUUGCAGGCUGCAACUCGCCUGCAUGAAGCCGGAAUCGCUAGUAAUCGCGGAUCGGCAUGCCGCGGUGAAUACGUUCCCGGGCCUU